GUUCUGGGAACAGCAUAUGUUUGUUUCUAGGAGCACCAAGCAAUUUACAUUUAUAAAAAUAGGAUUUUCUUUUUGGAGGAAGUUGGAGGACCUUCUAUACUGGAUGAGACAUCAUUUUGAAGAGAGACGCCCCCGCCACCCCACACACCUGAGCUGCAGAUACCUAGCAUGAACAGUGAGGAGGAUGGAGUACAUGUGACCAGAGGAUCCACCUAUGCUGCAGGCCAGGACUUGUUUGAAACUCUACUGCAGUGCAGUGCACCCUGACAGUCAAGCACAGCUGCCCCUCCACACCCGUGCAAUGCUGGAAGCCAGAUAAGGAGGAGAAAGAAGAGGACUUUGGGUAACAUGUUCAAUGACAUCUUACAAGCCAAUGCUGCAGACCAUUGCAGUGAUCCAGCUAGGCUAAGCUGGGCUAACUGUGAGGAGAGAGAGGCAAACCACAAAACAAAAUGAGAGAUAAUUUUAAGGUUUUUAAGAACUUAAUAGGGGAAAACCCAAAAGAUGUACCAGGAAGAUAAAUAUAGAACAGUGUCUCUCAACCUUUCUAGACUACUGUACCCCUUUCAGGAGUCCUAUUUGUCUUGCGUAACCCCAAAUUUCACCAAUUUAAACUGCUUGCUUACAAAAAAAAGCCAGACAGACAACUGUUACAGCACACUAUUACUGAAAAAUUGUAUACUCAUUUUUACUGUAAUUAUAAAAUUGUAAGUACAAUAUUUCCGAUUCCAUUUGAGUGUAUAGUAUACAAAGCAGUGUAAACAAGACAUUGUAUGACAUUUUAGUUUAUACUGACUUUGCUAGUGCUUUUUAUGUAGCCUGUUGUAAAAGCAGGCAAAUAUCUAGAGGAGUUCAUGUACCCCCUGGAAGACCACGGUGUACCCCUAAGGGUACGCAAACCCCUGGUUGAGAACCACAGGUAUAGAACAUGACCAAGUACUUACCACUUACAAUAAGAAGCUUCAGGUUACUAACACAUUUACCUU